UGUGCAGGCGGGGUGAUAAGUGGUGUAUAAAAGGGCCGCGCUCAACGUGGCUAGGUUAUGCCAGACUGUCACUCUAGAGUGCGAGAGAGGGGCGUGGAAUUCCGGGUGUAGUGGUGAAAUGCGUAGAGAUCCGGAGGAACCCCAGAGGCGAAGGCGGCGCCCUGGCUCGCAACUGACGCUCAGCCACGACAGCAUGGGGAGCGAACGGGAUUAGAAACCCCGGUAGUCCAUGCCGUAAACGAUGCAAACUAGGCGCUAGCGGUCUCAACCCCGCUGGUGUCGUAGCAAACGCGCUAAGUUUGCCGCCUGGGGAGUACGGUCGCAAGGCUAAA
rnacentral:rRNA from 1 species